rnacentral:SRP_RNA from 1 species
GCCCGAGCUCUGCGCAAUUUGAGGUCGCUGAACCCCGCCAGGUCUGGAAAGAAGCAACGGUAGGCAAAACUUUGGAUGUGCGCAGCAAGCUUGGGCUUU